GGCCAUCUGGGUAACACAGAUGUGCCUGACUCUGCUAGGCAACCCAUUCCAUUCAAUAAUGCUCACGACUUCACACUGCCAGCCUUGUGAGAGCCACCAGCAUCUCUCGCCUGGAGGCUGUGACCACCUCCCACCGAGAUUCUACAUUUCCACCUUUGCC